UUAGCUAUACCGAUAACACUUACGAGUCAAAGCAGUAAUGCGCUUGGAGAGGAGGUCGCGGCAGAUUAGCUAGUUGGGGGGUAUGGCCCACCAAGGCGAUGAUCUGUAUCCGGCCUGAGAGGGCGCACGGACACACUGGAACUGAAACACGGUCCAGACUCCUACGGGAGGCAGCAGUGGGGAAUUUUGCGCAAUGGGGGAAACCCUGAACGCAGCAACGCCGGUGGAGGAUGAAGUCUCCUUGGGACGUAAACUCCUUUCGAUAGGGACGAUCAUUGAUGGUACCUAUAGAAGAAAGCCCCGGGCUAACUUUCGUGCCCAAGCAGCCGCGGUAAUACGAGGGGGGCAAGCGUUGUUCGGAAUUAUUGGCCGUAAAGGGCGCGUAGGCGGUUUGGCAAGUUGGGUGUGAAAUCUUCGGGCUCCAACUCGAAGUCUGACCGAAAACUGCCGGGGCUU
rnacentral:rRNA from 1 species